AAUUAAUCUUAAGUCCCUUCCUCUAGCAUUCCCUGAAUCAUGAUUAGUUAUAAGUUCAGAUAAAGGUGGGAAAGGAUGACAUAGCACUCACCCGUUGGUAAAAUUUGUUAGCAAAAACCAAGAUACUGAGUUGGUUCAUAUCUGCCUCUGAUGUGGUUAUUUGUGAUGGAAGGAGUUUCCUUCCUUUAAUGUUUAUUUAAUUUUUAUAUGAUGUCCUUCAACAAGUGAAUUUCACUGAAAGCAAGCUUCUUGUCUCAAAGUAUUUUAAAAAAUUAAUGUACCCUGGAUUUAUAUAAAGUGAAUUUAUGAAAAUAUAUAAUUUUAGGUUAAAGAAGACUAAGCCCACAUGUACUGUGACACCACUUCAGGAGAAAUCAAAAGGUAAGCUGGAUCAUCUUUUUCUCCUACGACUUGUAGGUUCUGGCUUCAGCGAUCCUCUCGCUGGAGCAUCAUCUCAGUACUUACAGAGACUUUCCAACAUGGCCGUUUUGGAGUAUGACACCAUUCGUCAAGAAACAAGCAAAAAAUCUAAAAAGAGCAAGAAACGAGAGCUUCGAGACUGCUGAUUAUCAUACACUAUGAUGCUUUCUUCACUGACUUUUAAAGUUUAUAUUUUUCCUUUCUUUUCUUUUUUGAUAUGUGAUAUGAUGUGCAAUGAUUUACAUAAAAAUGGAAAUGUAAAUAGGAAAUAAAUGUUUUCUGUUAUAUAUGAAA
rnacentral:lncRNA from 1 species